rnacentral:lncRNA from 1 species
AAAUACACAUAAUAAAUAUUUGAAUAACAAUAUCAAAUUAAUAUAAAUUUGUAUAUUAUAUUUAUUUAAAAAUUUACAAUAUAAAAUUUAAAUUUAAAAAAUAAAUUUAUUUAUUAUAUAUUAUUAGAAAAUAUCUGUUAUAUUUCAACUCAAAUUUUGAGUAGGAUUUAGGAUUUUGUACACCCCUGUGGAUGCUCAUGAGGUUGGAAAAUUUAUUUUUUAUUUUUAUUAUUAUUUUUUUUAAGAGAUAGGUAGCACGCUAUUCGUUUCGUUUGUUUCAUUUAGAAAUAAACUUAGCUAAAAAUGUGAAUCAAUUAGGAUUCGAACUUGAAUCUCGGGUACCAACCACCAAUCCCUUUGCCACUUGCUCUAGGGACGGUCGAUUGGAAAAUUUAUUAUUAUUAUUAUUAUUAUUAGUCUGUUUUUAUUUU